UACGAAGGGAGCUAGCGUUGUUCGGAAUUACUGGGCGUAAAGGGCGCGUAGGCGGUUCGACAAGUUGGAUGUGAAAGCCCCGGGCUCAACCCGGGAGGGUCGUGGCAAACCGGCGGGCUUGAGGCCGGUAGAGGUGGGUGGAACUCCUGGUGGAGUGGUGAAAUGCGUAGAGAUCAGGAAGAACACCCGUGGCGAAGGCGGCCCACUGGGCCGGUACUGACGCUGAGACGCGAAAGCGUGGGGAGCGAACAGG
rnacentral:rRNA from 1 species